GGGUUGUGAGGUUAAGCGAAUAAGCGUACACGGUGGAUGCCUAGGCAAUCAGAGGCGAUGAAGGACGUGCUAAUCUGCGAUAAGCGUCGGUAAGGUGAUAUGAACCGUUAUACCCGACGAUUUCCGAAUGGGGAAACCCAAUAUCCAAUGGAUAUUAUCAUGACGUGAAUACAUAGCGUCAUGAAGCGAACCGGGAGAACUGAAACAUCUCAGUACCCCGAGGAAAAGAAAUCAACCGAGAUUCCCCUAGUAGCGGCGAGCGAACGGGGAACAGCCCAGAGUCUUAAUCAAUAGCAGCAUCAGGAGAACGGUCUGGAAAGUCCGGCAGUAAAGGGUGAUAGCCCCGUAUCCGAAGAUGCUGUUAUUGUGAACUCGACGAGUAGGGCGGGACACGUGUUAUCCUGUCUGAACAUGGGGGGACCAUCCUCCAAGGCUAAAUACUCCUGAUUGACCGAUAGUGAACCAGUACCGUGAGGGAAAGGCGAAAAGAACCCCGGCGAGGGGAGUGAAAAAGAACCUGAAACCGUGUACGUACAAGCAGUAGGAGCCUCUUUAUGGGGUGACUGCGUACCUUUUGUAUAAUGGGUCAGCGACUUAUAUUCUGUAGCAAGGUUAACCGUAUAGGGGAGCCGUAGGGAAACCGAGUCUUAACUGGGCGAAUGAGUUGCAGGGUAUAGACCCGAAACCCGGUGAUCUAUCCAUGGGCAGGUUGAAGGUUGGGUAACACUAACUGGAGGACCGAACCGACUAAUGUUGAAAAAUUAGCGGAUGACUUGUGGAUGGGGGUGAAAGGCCAAUCAAACCGGGAGAUAGCUGGUUCUCCCCGAAAGCUAUUUAGGUAGCGCCUCGUGAACUCAUCUUCGGGGGUAGAGCACUGUUUCGACUAGGGGGUCAUCCCGACUUACCAACUCGAUGCAAACUGCGAAUACCGAAGAAUGUUAUCACGGGAGACACACGGCGGGUGCUAACGUCCGUCGUGAAGAGGGAAACAACCCAGACCGCCAGCUAAGGUCCCAAAGUCAUGGUUAAGUGGGAAACGAAGUGGGAAGGCUCAGACAGCCAGGAUGUUGGCUUAGAAGCAGCCAUCAUUUAAAGAAAGCGUAAUAGCUCACUGGUCGAGUCGGCCCGCGCGGAAGAUGUAACGGGGCUAAACCAUGCACCGAAGCUGCGGCAGCGACACUAUGUGUUGUUGGGUAGGGGAGCGUUCUGUAAGCCUGCGAAGGUGUACUGUGAGGUAUGCUGGAGGUAUCAGAAGUGCGAAUGCUGACAUAAGUAACGAUAAUGCGGGUGAAAAACCCGCACGCCGGAAGACCAAGGGUUCCUGUCCAACGUUAAUCGGGGCAGGGUGAGUCGACCCCUAAGGCGAGGCUGAAAAGCGUAGUCGAUGGGAAACGGGUUAAUAUUCCCGUACUGGUGGUAACUGCGAUGGGGGAACGGAGAAGGCUAGGUUGUCCGGGCGACGGUCGUCCCGGUUCAAGCAUGUAGGCAGAGUGAUUAGGCAAAUCCGGUCACUUAAUGCUGAGGUGUGAUGACGAGCCACUAAGGUGGUGAAGCAAUUGAUGCCCUGCUUCCAGGAAAAGCCUCUAAGCUUCAGGUUACCAACAAUCGUACCCCAAACCGACACAGGUGGUCAGGUAGAGAAUACUCAGGCGCUUGAGAGAACUCGGGUGAAGGAACUAGGCAAAAUGGUGCCGUAACUUCGGGAGAAGGCACGCUGGCGGUAAGUGAAGUCCCUUGCGGACGGAGCCGAAGCCAGUCGAAGAUACCAGCUGGCUGCAACUGUUUAUUAAAAACACAGCACUGUGCAAACACGAAAGUGGACGUAUACGGUGUGACGCCUGCCCGGUGCUGGAAGGUUAAUUGAUGGGGUUAUCCGUAAGGAGAAGCUCUUGAUCGAAGCCCCAGUAAACGGCGGCCGUAACUAUAACGGUCCUAAGGUAGCGAAAUUCCUUGUCGGGUAAGUUCCGACCUGCACGAAUGGCGUAAUGAUGGCCAGGCUGUCUCCACCCGAGACUCAGUGAAAUUGAACUCGCUGUGAAGAUGCAGUGUACCCGCGGCAAGACGGAAAGACCCCGUGAACCUUUACUAUAGCUUGACACUGAACAUUGAGCCUUGAUGUGUAGGAUAGGUGGGAGACUAUGAAGUGUGGACGCCAGUCUGCAUGGAGUCAACCUUGAAAUACCACCCUUUAACGUUUGAUGUUCUAACCUAGGUCCAUAAUCUGGAUCGGGGACCGUGUCUGGUGGGUAGUUUGACUGGGGCGGUCUCCUCCUAAAGAGUAACGGAGGAGCACGAAGGUUGGCUAAGCAUGGUCGGACAUCAUGCGGUUAGUGCAAAGGCAUAAGCCAGCUUGACUGUGAGAGUGACGGCUCGAGCAGGUACGAAAGUAGGUCUUAGUGAUCCGGUGGUUCUGAAUGGAAGGGCCAUCGCUCAACGGAUAAAAGGUACUCCGGGGAUAACAGGCUGAUACCGCCCAAGAGUUCAUAUCGACGGCGGUGUUUGGCACCUCGAUGUCGGCUCAUCACAUCCUGGGGCUGAAGUAGGUCCCAAGGGUAUGGCUGUUCGCCAUUUAAAGUGGUACGCGAGCUGGGUUUAGAACGUCGUGAGACAGUUCGGUCCCUAUCUGCCGUGGGCGUUGGAAGAUUGAGAGGGGUUGCUCCUAGUACGAGAGGACCGGAGUGAACGCACCACUGGUGUUCGGGUUGUCAUGCCAAUGGCAUUGCCCGGUAGCUAAGUGCGGAAGAGAUAACCGCUGAAAGCAUCUAAGCGGGAAACUUGCCUCGAGAUGAGUCUUCCCUGUCACCUUGAGUGACCUAAAGGAACGUUUAAGACUAAGACGUUGAUAGGCUGGGUGUGUAAGCGUAGCGAUACGUUGAGCUAACCAGUACUAAUGAACCGUGAGGCUUAACCUGACAACACCGAAGGUGUUU
rnacentral:rRNA from 2 species